GCCGCAUCUCUCUAUUUAUUUUUAGCUUGUCCUUUUAAGAUUUCAAUUUCUGCCUAUGUUUUAUGCUAGCAAAUAUUAUAUGCAUAUAUUAAAUAAAUAGUAACUAUAUAUCUAUUAGAAGCACAUAUGCUUAAUCAUUUUUUUCCAUCUUGGGGAUCUUUUGAAUUCCCCAAGUGUAAUCAUGUUUUAAUAAUGAAGUAUGCGAUCAAAAGCUUUGGAGAACCCUCCUCUAGAGAGUCUUUGAUCCAGUCAUCCUUUGAAGUUUGCCGUGGACUGUGCUCUGGGGUGGGUUUCACAUGCUGGCCCAGAGUGGUCCAGCCAAGGAGAAAGGUCCUGUCAGUGUGGAGAAUAGUAGCACAGCAGCUCUUGAGAGGGACUUGUUGGUGAGGGGGGACUUAACUAUCCUUGAGAAGGAGAUGUCUGGAAGAGCAACUUGGAUGUCUGUCCCCUGUGCCAAUGUGUGCUCCUCCUCUGAGGUUACCUCCUCAGGGCUCCCUCCUACUGAUAUCUAGGCCUUUUCAUGACAUUCUUUACUGAAGAGAGGGAAUCACAAUUUGUCAAAGGGAAAUUUGCAGAUGUGGGAGGCCUAGGAUUUCCUCCAGCAUAGGUAGAACUGUGGUGUCCAAGUAGUACCUUGCAAAUGGUCAGUGUGAGUGGAUGCUGUCAGCAUGCUUAGGAGGCUGAUGUCUUCAGACCUGUGUCCUUCUGCUCUGACUGUAUCUCCCUGCUUCUCUGGUGAUUUAUACUUAUGACAAACACUAUUGGUUGCUGAAUAGAACCACAGUUUUGUUUGGCGUGGCAAUGUGCCCAGUUGAAAGCUCCAUUUCUCAGCCUCCCCUGAAGGGAACAGUGGCCACAUGCCAUGGCUGUGGGCCGUGAGAUGUAAGCUGAAGUCUUUGGAUGGGGCCUCCCAGUGUGCUCAUUAUCAGGGGUCAGAGUCAGCUGGUGUGCAUCCUGUACCCUUCACCUUCCUCCUUCUCUUGCCAGAAACACUGAGUGAUGCUGAGGGUGGGGCCACUGUCUUGUGAACAUCCAGCAACAAGGAGGAGGAUGGAGAGCUGAGUGGAAAGACAGAAGGAGCCCAGGUCCCCGAAGGCCCUAGUCAGCUCCACCCAGACUUUUUGUUAGGAGAGGAAAAUAAGUCUCUGCCUGAUUCAGCCAGCCACUGUCAGACAGUUGGAUUUUCUGUUACUCCCAGGGGAAUGCAGUGCUAACAAACUUGAAAGUCAUGACUGCAGGUCUCACUGACACCUUGGUCAAGGCUGUUGACUUCAUGCAGGAUGCUGAUGCCCUUAGAAUGGAAGAGUGUGAGCAUCCCAUGUCUUCAGGAGCCCUUGCUGCCUCUCCUUCCCUGGCAAUUGUAUUAUAGAAUGUAGAUAUCUUGUCACUGCUAGUCAGCUUGGCCACGCUUGCUGACAGAAAAAAAAAACAACAAAAAACAGAAAACGCCAAUUUGACUCAUGUUAUCAGAGUUUGAUUUCAAGUCCUGGAGGAGGAGAGAGUGAACUGUCUCCUUAAGAAUAACGAAUUCUGUCAGGAAUGUGGAAAGUGAAAGUCAUGAUGAUGUGCUGGAGCCAGUACACAGGCUUGAGAGAGCCGGGGGUGUCCAUCUCUUCCCAAUCCACAUGCCGUGAUGUCCUGUUGGUGACUCGAAGUUGGCCACAGUGGACCUGAAAUCCAGCCCACACUCUGCUCACCACCCUGUGGGCCUUGUCCCAGGACUCAUCCCUUCUCUUCUGGAGCCAUUUCCAAUUCUGCCCAAAAGGACAGCCUGAAGUGCUGGACCCUGGGUACCUGGCUGAAGACUUUGGACUUUAACCUGGAGAUGAUGGAGAGUAUGCAGGAUAAAGUCCAUACCAAAUCCAACGCCUAGCAAAUGGAGAACAAGCCAAAACUAACAAGAUAAAAUGUAGCAGGAAAAAGUGCAAAGAGCUGAAGUGUGGAAUAAGUGGGAGAGGUCUGCCAUGCCCUAUCUGACCUUGCUGCCAUGAUCUUUAAGGCUGUGUGUCCUGGUUGGUGCAGCUACAAGAUGGCAGAAAUGCCUAAGUGAUGGUAUGGAACAGAGGAUCCCUCUUCUCACCAUUGUCUUGCAUGUUUCCUUGUGUGAACCACAAAUAAACUUUUGUUAUGUUAAGCUGCUGAGA
rnacentral:lncRNA from 1 species